UCCCCUCGUGCCUUCUGAGCUGACAGCAGUUUGAUCGAACACACUGGCUCAGUUCAGCAGGAACGAGAG
rfam:Oreochromis niloticus linkage group LG7, whole genome shotgun sequence.